rnacentral:rRNA from 1 species
GACGAACGCUGGCGGCGUGCCUUAUACAUGCAAGUCGAACGCAGUGGGGACGGGUGAGUAACACGUGGGUAACCUCCAAUCAGAGGGGAUAACACUUGGAAACAGGUGCUAAACCGAUCCUGAUGGAUCGACCCGCGGUGCAUGAGCUAGUCGGUGGGGUAAAGGCUCACCAAGGCCACGAGUCAUAGCUGACCUCAGAGGGUGACCGGCCAUACUGGGACUGAGACACGGCCCAGACUCCUACGAGAGGCAGCAGUAGGGAAUUUUCGGCAAUGGGCGAAAGUCUGACCGAGCCAUCCCGCGUGAGUGAAGAAGGUUUUCGGAUUGUAAAACACUGUUGUUAGAGAAGCGGUAUCUAACCAGUAAGCCACGGCUAACUACGUGCCAGCAGCCGCGGUAAUAC